rnacentral:rRNA from 1 species
CGUAACAAGGUCUCCGUUGGUGAACCAGCGGAGGGAUCAUUACCGAGUUUACAACUCCCAAACCCCUGUGAACAUACCUUAAUGUUGCCUCGGCGGAUCAGCCCGCGCCCCGUAAAACGGGACGGCCCGCCAGAGGACCCAAACUCUAAUGUUUCUUAUUGUAACUUCUGAGUAAAACAAACAAAUAAAUCAAAACUUUCAACAACGGAUCUCUUGGUUCUGGCAUCGAUGAAGAACGCAGCAAAAUGCGAUAAGUAAUGUGAAUUGCAGAAUUCAGUGAAUCAUCGAAUCUUUGAACGCACAUUGCGCCCGCUGGUAUUCCGGCGGGCAUGCCUGUUCGAGCGUCAUUUCAACCCUCAAGCCCUCGGGUUUGGUGUUGGGGAUCGGCUCUGCCUUCUGGCGGUGCCGCCCCCGAAAUACAUUGGCGGUCUCGCUGCAGCCUCCAUUGCGUAGUAGCUAACACCUCGCAACUGGAACGCGGCGCGGCCAUGCCGUAAAACCCCAACUUCUGAAUGUUGACCUCGGAUCAGGUAGGAAUACCCGCUGAACUUAAGCAUAUCAA